UUGAGAGAUCGAGAUGGGCACCGAGCAAGAGAGGAGGACAGAGGGAGGGUCGGAUCAAAAGAAAGGAAACGGAGAGGGCUAGAGACUGUGAUGGAAGCUCGGAUGGAAGCUCGAAGCAGAGAGGGAGAACUGCUGUGACAGAUGAGAAAGGGUUCAAGAAAGAUGGGAGCAAGGCCUGAUAGCUAGUUGACUCAGGUGUGAGGAACUAGGGGAACCCAAUUUAGUUGUGGGUAUCUUUAGGAUCGAGGAGACUAAAUUUAGGCAUUUAAAAGGCUCGAUUCGAUGGACUAUAUCGUGGAAUUCGCCACGAGACGACCGCUGAUCCGGCGGGAUACAAACGGGGACGCUUAGACCGCUGAUUCGGCGGGAUACAAAAAGGGACGCCUAGACCGCUGAUCCGGCGGGAUACAAAAAGGGACGCCUAGAUCGCCGAUCCGGCGUGAUACAAAAAUAGACGCUUAGACUGCUGAUCCGGCGGGAUAAAAAAAGGGACGCUUAGACUGCUGAUCCGGGGGAUACAAAAAGGGAUGCCUAGACCGCUGAUCCGGCGGGAUACAAAAAAGAACGUUUAGACCGCUGAUUCGGCGAGAUAUUAAAAUGAACGCCUAGACUGUUGAUCCGACGGGAUAUAAAAUGGACGCCUAGACUCCCACUGUCGGAGGAUAAUAGGCAGCCCCUGCUUAUGAGAAAUCAAAUAAGGAGUUUGUGGAUAUGAGUGCGGGGUCACGGUACUGUCGAAACUCUAUCGCGAGGAUUGUGACCCUAUGGCUACUAUUAUUUGUUGCUUUAGAAUGAUUGCCUAAGUUAUGUGAUAUUGAAUUGGCUGAUAAGAGAAAUGCUAAAUAUUGGAAAGUAGGUGUGUGUAUAUAUAUAUCAUUAAAAAUUUUGAAAUAAAUGAUAUGACUGUCAUUAUUGAUGUGAAUGCACAAACAAGUUGAUAUUUCAUUUUGUUGUGGAAUGCAAUACUCACUGAGAUGCAGCUCACUCCCUACAUAUAUAUUUUUUCAGAUGACCUAGGAGCUAGACUAGCCGUACAUAAUAACUUUUUGGAUAAUGGGGAUCAGCGCUGAGGAUUUUUGU